rfam:Capsicum annuum cultivar Zunla-1 chromosome 8, whole genome shotgun sequence
UGUUGGUGAUGUGGAUAAUCUUUAAGAAGAGAUUUGAACCUCUCCCAUGCAUGAUAUAAGCUCUCAUUCGACUUCUGCUAAAAUUAAGAAUCUCCCUACAUAACUA